rnacentral:lncRNA from 1 species
AAAGUUUUUGAAAUAUAAAGAAGCAUUUCUCUGAAAUUUAACCCUCCCACAGUACAAGUGACCUUCCUUGGGGACUUUUCCAGCCAGGAAUGAUCACAGCCGCGAGGGGGUCUGUAUCCUUGGACCCCCAGGCCCCUCAAAAGCAGGACAGAAUUGUGGUGGUGAAGGUGGAGGCAGAGGGCCACUUUAUCCUCGCAGCCGGGAGCUGGCCCACGCGCGCUUCAGACGGUUCUACCACCAGGAGACCAGGAGAUUUGCCACCCGGUGAGGUUCUGCGAUGCCCCCAUGAGCUCUGCCACCAGGGGCUGAGGCUGGAGAGACAUCGCAAGCUGCCCAUCCUGGAGCUGCUGAUGCUGGAGCAGUUCCUGGCCAUCCUGCCCCCGGGGCUGCAGAGCUGGGGCUGGGAGCGCCCUGGGCCGUGGAGAGGAGCUGGCUAUGACGGACCGGAAGUUUCCUGGGGGCAGAGGGCAUCUCCACCACCGGCACAAGAACCACCACGCGUCGGCACAAGAACCACCACGCGUCGCCAGCUUCAGCCAGUGACACCCAGUUCAAACGCAGAUCUUGGGAGCUCCACCCCCUCCAAGCCAGUGCCUCAUUUUUCAUCGUGGUGUCACAUGCCGCCGUUCAUGUCAUGGGUCCCCUGUGAUCGGCAGGGGUUUUAUCUCCACAGCCACCUUUGCACAGCAAUAAUAUUUGGAUUCUCUCCGUCUGGGUUCCGAUGGUGACCUCAGGACUGAGGACGGCUUCAGCUCAGAUCAGGAACUUGCUGAAGGAAGGCCUCCCCAGUGACUCAAGCAGACUCCAGGGAAGCUCUGCAGGCGCCAGAGCUGGGAGGCCCGCAGAAUGUUCCAGGCCCUUGGGCUGCCUCAGGGAACCUCCCAGAGAGCAGGCUGAGCAGCCAUCCUGCCCAAGAGAGGAGUUUCAAGCAGGAGAGAGAAGAGACAAGCCAUGAAGGUGACAAGUGACAAGCCUGCAGGCCAGGUGAGCUCCUGGUUCCAGAUUAGAAAAGACGUCCGGGCAAAGGCCACAGUGAUGUCACACGUGUGGCUGUGGUCGAGCAGACACAGCCCUCGUUCAGCAUCGGAGCCCACGCGGAAGAGAAGCCUCAGGUGUGAGCGGUGACAGGUCAGGAAGCUGUUACUUUGAUGAGAAAAGGAGAGAGGCGGGACCACCAUGGCCCUGAGCAGGGAAGCUGGUGUGUGUGAGCUGAGGGGCACGAAGGACACAGCUAGACACGGUCCCCAAACACAGGCCUUCUCUGCGUGGCUUCAUCACCACCAGGUGUGUGCUCCCCAGGUGCCGAAGGGCAAGGGAGCUGGCCCGCUCAGCCACUCGUCACCAGGCCACUCAGCUCCCACAUCAGCCACCUGGCCUCCACCUUAGUCCCUUCUUAGGCCACUUUUCUGUCACUUCUGCUCUUUUGUAAGAAACAUAAUACAUUUUUUCUCUUCUCAACAAGCGUAAUGCAUGUCCAUAACAGACACUUUUAAAAUACAUGUAAACAAAAUGAAAAAAAUCUAGUCACCUAUUCCAGAAUCACGGGUAACAUGGAGUGUCUUUCUAGCAUUUUUUCCUAAGCAUAUAUAUACAUUUUCUCCAUUUUUCAGGUUUCUCUAAAACCUAAAAAAAGAGGUAGGGAACCUCCCUGCAGCCCGACUUCCUUUCACCUGGGAGCCGAGAAUGGGAACCAAGAGAAGGUGGGAACCGGCCUGUGUCUUGUGGACC